rnacentral:rRNA from 1 species
GUAGUCUCGCACAGAUGCAUAUCAAUAAGCGGAGGAAAAGAAACUAACAAGGAUUCCCUCAGUAACGGCGAGUGAAGCGGGAAGAGCUCAAAUUUGAAAUCUUGAAAGGUCACCUUUCACGAAUUGUAGUUUAAAGAAGUGUUUUCUGUUACGAUCGUAAUAUAAGUUCUUUGGAAUAGGACAUCACAGAGGGUGAGAAUCCCGUCUAUGAUUGCGAUUUGUAGCUUUGUGAUACACUUUCAAAGAGUCGGGUUGUUUGGGAAUGCAGCCCAAAACGGGAGGUAAAUUUCUUCUAAGGCUAAAUAUUGGCGAGAGACCGAUAGCGAACAAGUACCGUGAGGGAAAGAUGAAAAGAACUUUGAAAAGAGAGUUAAAUAGUACGUGAAAUUGUCAAAAGGGAAGCGUUUGACACCAGUGUUGUUUACUCGAAAAUCAAUUAAAAAGAGUUAGAUUUUGUUGUGUAUUGACCUUAACAGCUUGCAUUUCAAUUUUCUUGCUUUUUUUAAUGCACUUUUCGUUUAACAAGUCAACAUCAGUUUCUUUUGUUGUAAAAAGGUCAUUGGAAGGUGGCUUUCUUUUCGGAGAAAGUGUUUAUAGCCUUUGACUCCUGCAAUCGGAGAGACUGAGGUCUGCAGCGUAGAUCCUUCGGGGUUAGAUACAUUUGUGCUAAGUUAUAGCUUUUUAUAGACAACUUGUUGACUAUGAUUAGUCUUGUAGCUUACUCGCUUAUGCUGUUUUACCUACACUUAGGAUGUUGAAGAUGUAGCACAUCAU